rnacentral:rRNA from 1 species
AGUGAACGCUGGCGGUAGGCCUAACACAUGCAAGUCGAACGGCAGCACAGUAAGAGCUUGCUCUUACGGGUGGCGAGUGGCGGACGGGUGAGGAAUACAUCGGAAUCUACUUUUUCGUGGGGGAUAACGUAGGGAAACUUACGCUAAUACCGCAUACGACCUACGGGUGAAAGCAGGGGAUCUUCGGACCUUGCGCGAUUGAAUGAGCCGAUGUCGGAUUAGCUAGUUGGCGGGGUAAAGGCCCACCAAGGCGACGAUCCGUAGCUGGUCUGAGAGGAUGAUCAGCCACACUGGAACUGAGACACGGUCCAGACUCCUACGGGCGGCAGCAGUGGGGAAUAUUGGACAAUGGGCGCAAGCCUGAUCCAGCCAGACCGCGUGGGUUAAGAAGGCCUUCGGGUUGUACAGCACUUUUGUUGGGAAAGAACAGCAGCAAGUUAAUACCCCGCUGUUCUGACGGUACCCAAAGAAUAAGCAACGGCUAACUACGUG